AGUGACGAUAGCCUAGGAGAUACACCUGUUCCCAUGCCGAACACAGAAGUUAAGCCCUAGUACGCCUGAUGUAGUUGGGGGUUGCCCCCUGUUAGAUAUGGUAGUCGCUUAGCA
rnacentral:rRNA from 1 species